GACGAACGCUGGCGGCGUGCUUAACACAUGCAAGUCGAACGGAAAGGCCCUGCUUUUGUGGGGUGCUCUAGUGGCGAACGGGUGGGUAACACGUGAGUAACCUGCCCUUGACUUUGGGAUAACUUCAGGAAACUGGGGCUAAUACCGGAUAGGAGCUCCUGCUGCAUGGUGGGGGUUGGAAAGUUUCGGCGGUUGGGGAUGGACUCGCGGCUUAUCAGCUUGUUGGUUGGGUAGUGGCUUACCAAGGCUUUGACGGGUAGCCGGCCUGAGAGGGUGACCGGCCAAAUUGGGAAAGAGAUACGGCCCAGAGUACUACGGGAGGCAGCAGUAGGGAAUAUUGCUCGAUGGGCGGAAGCCUGAUGCAGCAACGCCGCGUGAGGGAUGACGGCCUUCGGGUUGUAAACCGCUUUCGCCUGUGACGAAGCGUGAGUGACGGUAAUGGGUAAAGAAGCACCGGCUAACUACGUG
rnacentral:rRNA from 1 species